rnacentral:rRNA from 1 species
ACUCCUACGGGAGGCAGCAGUGGGGAAUAUUGCACAAUGGGCGCAAGCCUGAUGCAGCCAUGCCGCGUGUAUGAAGAAGGCCUUCGGGUUGUAAAGUACUUUCAGCAGUGAGGAAGGUGGAUGCGUUAAUAGCGUAUUCAUUUGACGUUAGCUGCAGAAGAAGCACCGGCUAACUCCGUGCCAGCAGCCGCGGUAAUACGGAGGGUGCGAGCGUUAAUCGGAAUUACUGGGCGUAAAGCGCAUGCAGGUGGUUUGUUAAGUCAGAUGUGAAAGCCCGGGGCUCAACCUCGGAAUUGCAUUUGAAACUGGCAGACUAGAGUACUGUAGAGGGGGGUAGAAUUUCAGGUGUAGCGGUGAAAUGCGUAGAGAUCUGAAGGAAUACCGGUGGCGAAGGCGGCCUCCUGGACAGAUACUGACACUCAGAUGCGAAAGCGUGGGGAGCAAACAGGAUUAGAUACCCUGGUAGGAUAGCG